rnacentral:rRNA from 1 species
UGGUGGAGUGAUUUGUCUGGUUAAUUCCGUUAACGAACGAGACCUCGACCUGCUAAAUAGUCCGGUCUAUGCUUCGGCAUAGAUACUUGCGUGACUUCUUAGAGGGACUAUCGGUGUGUAGCCGAAGGAAGUUCGAGGCAAUAACA